rfam:Stegodyphus mimosarum contig69401, whole genome shotgun sequence.
GCCUUCGUGGUGUAAUGGUAGCCCACUCGACGCGUAUUCGAGAGAUCCAGGUUCAAGUCCCGGCGACGACC